rnacentral:lncRNA from 1 species
GGCGGCGCGGGGCAAGCAGCGCAGCGGCGCUCCGCGACAAAGGUCUUUAUUCGCAGCCCCGGCGGCGGAGGGCCCCGGGCGGCCGCGCUGCGGGCGCUGGGAGGACGCGGCCCCGGCCCGGCGCGCCGUGGCGAGGAACGACACGCGGUCAGCACAGAGGAACUGGGAGAGAUCUUCGGUCUGGUGGUGCCGGUACCAGUCCUCGAUCACGUCUUCGUACUCCUCCACCAGCACGUCGCACUGGCAGGGAGAGGACAGCCUGGCACCCAGCACGUGGCAGCAAGCCCUGAGCCCAUCCCCACACCUGCUGAGCCCUUCCCAGCCCACGCGGCCGCAGCACGCUGACCCCACCAAGUGGAUACCUGCUUCUUGAGAUCCGCCACCUCGGCAGAGGUCUCGUUCCACAGCUCGUAGGGAAUGUCCAUCACCACCUUGACGCCUUUGUGCACCAGGUUGUGCAGGGUCUCAAACGUCUCCGACAUACCCUGAGGAGAACAGAGCCACCCAGUGAGGCUGUGCCCAGGGGCGCAGACAGGCGUCAGGCAGCCGGCAUUGGGGCGUUAUGUGCCCGCCAAACUCUCUGUACUGAGCACCCCAUCCUAAACACAGCAGGAAGGCACACGUGAGACGGCACCUGACUCCCUCCUGGCCCACCUCCCCCCGAGGACAGCACCCCAGAGCAGCACGGCCUUGCCUGCUGUCAGCUGGAGCCUGGGAAGAACCGACCACAUUUCAGCACCCGGAGGGACCGCAGGGAAAACCCACCUUUGCAAAUCUGUUGCUGCCGCUCCUUUCCUUGUGCAGGUUGUAGUCCAACAGCCUCUUGCAAAUGUUCUCUGUCACCUCAAUGAGCCGGAUGUCCGACUGUGUGUACUUGACGGCAGCCCCCUUCCCAUCCAAGAAGCCAUACUUGGUGUCGAUCACCUCCUUGGUCUUGCCGGUCUCUUCAAAGGCGGAUUUCAGCUCCAGUGCCACAUAUUUGCACACCUCGCACUUGCUGGGCAGCCGCACCCAGUCCGCGUCGUCGCCGCCCGCCACCGCCACCAGCAGCAGCAGCAGCAGCAGCGCGGCGGGGCCCUCCGCCGCCAUGGCUCCGCUUCCGGGCCUGCGCUCCGCCCCCGUCGCCACGGCAACGCGCCGCC